rnacentral:rRNA from 1 species
AGAGUUUGAUCCUGGCUCAGGACGAACGCUGGCGGCGUGCUUAACACAUGCAAGUCGAACGGAAAGGCCCUGCUUGCAGGGUGCUCGAGUGGCGAACGGGUGAGUAACACGUGGGUGAUCUGCCUUGUACUUCGGGAUAAGCUUGGGAAACUGGGUCUAAUACCGGAUAGGACCAAUCUUUAGUGUGGUUGGUGGAAAGAUUUUUUCGGUGCAAGAUGAGCCCGCGGCCUAUCAGCUUGUUGGUGGGGUAAUGGCCUACCAAGGCGUCGACGGGUAGCCGGCCUGAGAGGGUGGACGGCCACAUUGGGACUGAGAUACGGCCCAGACUCCUACGGGAGGCAGCAGUGGGGAAUAUUGCACAAUGGGCGGAAGCCUGAUGCAGCGACGCCGCGUGGGGGAUGAAGGCCUUCGGGUUGUAAACUCCUUUCGCCAGGGACGAAGCUUUUGUGACGGUACCUGGAUAAGAAGCACCGGCUAACUACGUGCCAGCAGCCGCGGUAAUACGUAGGGUGCGAGCGUUGUCCGGAAUUACUGGGCGUAAAGAGCUCGUAGGUGGUUUGUCGCGUCGUCUGUGAAAUUCCGGGGCUUAACUCCGGGCGUGCAGGCGAUACGGGCAAUACUUGAGUGAUGUAGGGGUAACUGGAAUUCCUGGUGUAGCGGUGAAAUGCGCAGAUAUCAGGAGGAACACCGAUGGCGAAGGCAGGUUACUGGGCAUUUACUGACGCUGAGGAGCGAAAGCAUGGGUAGCGAACAGGAUUAGAUACCCUGGUAGUCCAUGCCGUAAACGGUGGGCGCUAGGUGUGAGCCUCUUCCACGAGGUUUGUGCCGUAGCUAACGCAUUAAGCGCCCCGCCUGGGGAGUACGGCCGCAAGGCUAAAACUCAAAGGAAUUGACGGG